ACGGAAUUGUGGGCAGCGUUACCUCGGGAUGGAAGGAAGUUUUUCUCUUUCGGUGAUUGUGCUGCCUGUGUUAACAGGCUUGCCUCUUACUCGUGCCAUAGAUAUAACACUCGUCCUGUAAAGUGUUGUAUUAUUCAAGACUUUAUUUGGGAACGAGAAAGAAAUUGUGUAGUUUAUGCGUACUUCAUCUUUCUGCAACUACAAUCAAAUCACCUGCUUCUGGGAUUAGGAAAUAGGAUUUCCUGACUGACAGUUUUAAGUAACCGGCGUUUUAGAAUUUAACUGCUGAACCAAACCUGUUCUAAGAGGAAAAGAGAACUUGGAGGCAAUAGGCUACCCACGUGAAACUACCAAGAUUGUCCAGGCCUGGGACAAAUAACAUGUCAUUAGAACCUUUAUCAUACUGCUCACCAGGGACUCAAAGAAACUUGCAUCAUUCUCCUUUCCUCCAUUUUGUCCUCACAACAAUCCUGUGAGGUAAGUUAGUCAGAGAGCAUAUGACUGUCCCAAGAUCAUUCAGCAAGCCAGCUGGAGCAUGUGAUGAUGGAACAGAAAGAUCCAAAGCCAGAUUACCAAAUUUUUUCUAGAGAUGGAAAAUGAGGAGUUUGAGACAGCACUUAUGAAAGUCACCUUCUGAAUGGCUUCUAGAUUGAAUUUAUUGAAAUUUACUUGUAAGCUCAGAGCUUUCAGGAUGUUUAAGUGAAUGUCUGACAAUAAAUCCUGGGGGCUGUUGCUAAUCUGAAAGAGAGGACUCUUUAUUGUAGGUGUAGGGUGCUGCUUUGAAAACAGAAAUACGUUUGGGAGCUUGCUCUGAUCUUGAUGUGAAAAUAGGAAGGGAGCAGGUCUAGGAUUCAGGCCAGGGCAUGGGACAGAGACAGCACUAAUAGCAUUAGUGGAUGAUCUCCAUCUGAAUAUAGACAAAGGACAUGCCUCUUUAUUGCUUCUCCUGGAUCUAUCUGUAGGCUUUAGCACAGUAGACCAUGCCAUCCUGUUGGGGCAUUUAGAAACAGAAGUGGGCAUCAAAGGAUGUGCCCUGGACUGGUUUAAAUCAUUUCUCAUAGAAUGGACUCAAAGGGUUGCCGUUGGGAGAUCAGCUAUAUCCAGAAUGGGAACUGUCUUGUGGGGGUUCGCAGAGCACAAUCUUAUCUCCCAUGUUAUUCAACCUCUACGUAAAGCAUUUAGGAGAACUCAUUCACAGCUAUGGAGUUGGAUGUCACCAAUAUGCAGAUGACACCCAACUCUGUAUCUCACUAUCUAGGUCCCCCCAGGAUGCAGUAGAAAUCUUAGAUUGCUGCCUGACAGCUGUGGUGAAAUGGUUGAAAAACAACAAAUUGAAAUCGAACCCAGACAAGACUGAAGUGAUGUUUGUUGGGAAGGCAGAGAUCUUGAAGAAUAUUGUACUCCCCACUUUCAGUGGAGUUUGUCUGACCCUUGCAGACUCAGUUAAGAGCCUAGGAGUUAUACUGGAUCCAGUGCUACUACUAGAAAAACAAGUUAAGGCAGCUGCAAAAAAUGCUUUCUACAACCUCAUUCUAGCCUGAAAGAUGGCUUCUUAUCUCGACACGGCCAACCUGGCCACCUGGAUCCACACUAUGGUAACAUCAAGGCUUGACUAUUGUAAUGCACUAUACAUAGGUCUCCCAUCUAAAUUAACUAGGAGGCUGCAACUAGUGCAAAAUGCUGCAGCUUGAUUGUUAUGAAUGAGCAGGAGCAUGAACAUCACUCCCAUCCUACAGUCACUCCAUUGGCUACCUAGCGGUUACCGUGCUCAGUUCAAGGUAUUGGUUAUUACAUACAAAGCUCUUCACAGCCUUGGUCCAGCAUACCUAUGGGACUGCCUCUCUCCCUAUGCUCCUCCGUGGCAGCUUCGCUCAUCUGAACAGGGUCUCCUGCAGGUGCCAGGCUGCACAUGAGCAAAACCAACAGCAGCCCGUACAUGGGCUUUCUCUGUGGUGGCCCCUGCCCUGUGGAACGACCUGCCUGAGGAGGUCAGGAGAGCCCCCAUUCUCUUGGCUUUCUGCUAACAAUACAAAACUGAAUUAUUCAAAAAGGCUUUUUACUCAAAUGGGAGGGCUGUAUUGUAGGGAGGGGCUUCUCAGAUGCUUCGCUAAUGAAUUAGGAACUGUAGACUUCACCACUAUGUUGCUUUACAUGUUAUCUGUUGCUUUAAAUAUGUACUCCUAUGUACUACCUGUGGUUUAUGUUGUCUAAUAUCAGUCCUAGAAUUAAUUAUGUUCUGUUUUAGUAUUUCUUAUACUCUGUAUUGGAUUUUUGCUAAUGCUAUGUCUUUUAAAACUUGUAUCUAUUUACCCUAUGGCAUUGUUUAUGAAAAUGUCCUUGAUACUGUAUGGAAAUGUACUUGAUACUGAUUGUACUAAUCUCAUACUGUGUAAUCCGCCUUGAGUCUCAGUGAGAAAGGCAAACUAUAAAUGACAUAAAUAAAUAAAAUAAGAGUUAAAAACCAGAUGCCCUGGUGUAAUAAAAGGAAAACACCAGAAAUUGA